UUAAUUUGUUAAUAUAUUUUAGUACGAAAGGACCAAGUGUGUAGAUUUUAUUUUUAAUUUUGAUUAUUAUUAUUAUUUUGGCAGAUUAGUGUAAUAGAUUUAGAAUCUUUGAAUGUAAUUUAGAUUACAAAUAA
rnacentral:tRNA from 1 species